AGCGAACGCUGGCGGCAGGCCUAACACAUGCAAGUCGAACGGAUCCUUCGGGAUUAGUGGCGGACGGGUGAGUAACACGUGGGAACGUGCCCUUUGGUUCGGAACAACUCAGGGAAACUUGAGCUAAUACCGGAUGUGCCCUUCGGGGAAGAUUAUCGCCAUUGGAGCGGCCCGCGUCUGAUUAGCUAGUUGGUGAGGUAAAGGCUCACCAAGGCGACGAUCAGUAGCUGGUCUGAGAGGAUGAUCAGCCACAUUGGGACUGAGACACGGCCCAAACUCCUACGGGAGGCAGCAGUGGGGAAUCUUGCGCAAUGGGCGAAAGCCUGACGCAGCCAUGCCGCGUGAAUGAUGAAGGUCUUAGGAUUGUAAAAUUCUUUCACCGGGGACGAUAAUGACGGUACCCGGAGAAGAAGCCCCGGCUAACUACGUGCCAGCAGCCGCGGUAAU
rnacentral:rRNA from 1 species